rnacentral:rRNA from 1 species
GUCUACGGCCAUGCCACCCUGAACGUGCAGAUCUCCUCUGACCUCAGAAGUUAAGCAGGGUCGGACCUGGUUAGGACUUGGAUGGGAAACCACCUAGGAAGACCAGGUGCUGUAGGCA